rnacentral:rRNA from 1 species
ACCUGGCGGCUGCCUAACGCAUGCNAGUCGUANGGAGAGUGGGGCAACUCACUCUCAGUGGCAAACGGGUGAGUAACGCGUGAAUAACCUGCCUUUGAGAAGGGGAUAACUGUCCGAAAGGAUAGCUAAUACCCUAUAUUGCCUUUUGUCACUAAGGCAAAAGGUGAAAGCGAGGCUGUCAAAGGCUUCGGCUCAAAGAGGGGUUCGCGUCCUAUCAGGUAGUUGGUGGGGUAAUGGCCUACCAAGCCAAUGACGGGUAGCUGGUCUUAGAGGAUGAUCAGCCACAGUGGGACUGAGACACGGCCCGCACCCCUACGGGGGGCAGCAGUGGGGAAUCGUGGGCAAUGGGCGCAAGCCUGACCCCGCAAUGCCGCGUGAGGGAAGAAGCCCUUCGGGGUGUAAACCUCUGUCAGAUGGGAAGAUGGGACUAGGGGCUAAUACCUCCUAGUCUUGACGGUACCAUCAGAGGAAGGGACGGCUAACUACGUGCCAGCAGCCGCGGUAAU